rnacentral:antisense_RNA from 1 species
UGCAAUGACGGCUGUGCGUUGGAGAGCCUCGGCCCCUGUAUCUCCGGUUACCAACCUGCGCACAGCUGCCACCCAU